CUAGUUUUAAAUAAAGCUUCCUGUUUCUUUUGUAGAAAUUCUUGCUGGUCUUCUGCUUGAUCCUUCUCUUCUCAGGGACUCUGUGUGAUGCUCGCUGUUACUUUAGACCAUCCAGCAAAUACGGGUGCCUUUCAAACAGAAACCUUUACGUUUUUGGUGCGGUGUGGAAGACUGAAGAUUGUUACCAAUGCAGGUGUAAGAUGAAUGCAAUGAUUUGCUGCAGCUUGGUUGUAAUCCCCAAGAACUACGACAGAGCAAACUGUGUUGGUCUGUUCCACAAGAAAAGCUGUUCAAUCAAAGUAGUGAAGAAGACAAACCCUGACAUAAGCUGCAAAGUCUACAAUGGAGUUGGUUAAGUCCAUGUGAUGUGUUUCUCCUCUUCUGCAUGUCCCUGGAAGUUGAAUAUGUUUUGGAUCUCUCAUUUAGAGGAAAUCAUCAAAGCAACAUGGUUUCAGAAGGAAUGGGUUCACCUCAUGCCUUUCCCAGUUCUAAUUAUGGCACGUCUGUCUGAUUUCUGACACUAGGAGGUUUGUCUUAUUAUAUAAACAUUUGUAACAAAGCUUUACCAUAGAUAAUUUUGUGACUUUAUUCCUGUUGGGAUCCAGAGUUAAA